rnacentral:lncRNA from 1 species
CUACACAAUAGAUGACAUAUGACUGAUUAGGAAAACAACACAAUAAGUGCGAGAAUGUCCGCUCUGUCCACCUAGCUACUCUCACGUGUCCGCUGUAGCCACUGUCCGCUCUGACCGCGUAACCAACCAAUACAACCACCAAGAACCGGCUCAGUGUGCGCAGGUGAAACAGAAAUAUCAAACUUCCAUCCUGGAUCCUGGUAUGUCUGAAAAACUUAAAGGAAGACAAGCCUAAGAUACUAAUUCUGAAAUGCAUAUUAUUUUAAAAGAUAACAAACCUAUAUCUCUGAUACCCAGAAGAUAUAAGAGAUAAAGAAAGUGUUCAACUAAAACAAGUAAAAUCUAUUUUACAAUUGGAUUUGGAUGUUCAUGAAGAACAAGUUAUGUCUUUGGAAAGAAAACUUUCCGUAUCAGACUGUAGAAAUUUUACAGAAACAACUAUUAGAUGCCAAGAAUGAAAUAGAAGCUGCGAAAAUACAAAUGUUUAAGGUACAAGAAGAAAAUAAGAAAACAUAUAACUUUCGAAGACGUUCUUCAAAAUGUUAUGAAAUUAAUGAUUUAGUAGCAAUCAAAAGGACGCAAUUUGGACCAAUAAGUUAAAAUCAAAGUAUUUAGGCUCGUAUAAGAUUGUCAAAAUAAAGAAUAAUGACUCCUAUGAUGUUGUAAAAGAAGGAGAUCAUGAAGGACCCACUAAAACAAGUACAUGCGCUGAAUACAUAAAACAAUGGACUCAAGCAGAAGAAGAUGAAUAAAAUAAUACUGAUUAUGACGUUCUUAACCUGAAGUGAUACAACUGAUAACCGAACUGUGAGUUUCCACCUAAUAAUGACUUUUAUUUCAGUAAAUGCUAUUUUUAAGAUGAAAUGAACAUUUCCAAAACUGUUAAAGAUUGAAGAUAUUUUUCGUUUUAGAUGAAAUAUAGAAGGGACUGUCGACGAUGUUAUUGUGCAAAGAUGAAGGACAAUUAAGAUGUUUCCUUUCAAUAUUGUCCUUAGCACACAAUCUUCCCCUCUCCCUUCGUACUUCUUUUCAGGUUUCGGCUUAUUUACGAUGAUGGUUCUUUUUAUGAUGUCAAGAGUAGAAUAAUGUCGUCGAGGUCGACGCAUAGCAGGAACCCGAAUGUGGGAUACUAAAUCCAUAGUUUAACAAUUUUCUUCGCGAGCUGUCUAAUUUUUAGCUGUUGACUGCACGAGUGAAAUUGAUAGAACUUUGAACACUUUGUUUUAUGAGAGGAGAUGUAAGAUGUUGUUUUAUAGAUAUAAGGUGUUAUAGAUGUUGUGUUAAUAAAUGAACGAUAUUAUACA